rnacentral:rRNA from 1 species
CCCUACGGGGGGCAGCAGUGGGGAAUAUUGCACAAUGGGGGAAACCCUGAUGCAGCGACGCCGCGUGAGUGAAGAAGUAUUUCGGUAUGUAAAGCUCUAUCAGCAGGGAAGAAAAUGACGGUACCUGACUAAGAAGCCCCGGCUAACUACGUGCCAGCAGCCGCGGUAAUACGUAGGGGGCAAGCGUUAUCCGGAUUUACUGGGUGUAAAGGGAGCGUAGACGGUGAUACAAGUCAGAAGUGAAAGCCCGCGGCUCAACUGCGGGACUGCUUUUGAAACUGUAUGACUGGAGUGCAGGAGAGCUA